rnacentral:rRNA from 1 species
ACGAACGCUGGCGGCGUGCUUAACACAUGCCAGUCGAACGGAAAGGCCCUGCUUUUGUGGGGUGCUCGAGUGGCGAACGGGUGAGUAACACGUGAGUAACCUGCCCUUGACUUUGGGAUAACUUCAGGAAACUGGGGCUAAUACCGGAUAGGAGCUCCUGCUGCAUGGUGGGGGUUGGAAAGUUUCGGCGGUUGGGGAUGGACUCGCGGCUUAUCAGCUUGUUGGUGGGGUAGUGGCUUACCAAGGCUUUGACGGGUAGCCGGCCUGAGAGGGUGACCGGCCACAUUGGGACUGAGAUACGGCCCAGACUCCUACGGGAGGCAGCAGUGGGGAGUAUUGCACAAUGGGCGGAAGCCUGAUGCAGCAACGCCGCGUGCGGGAUGACGGCCUUCGGGUUGUAAACCGCUUUCGCCUGUGACGAAGCGUGAGUGACGGUAAUGGGUAAAGAAGCACCGGCUAACUACGUG